GGCGGUCACCUUGCUCAGCUACAAUAGAAAUAUCUUCAAUCAGCUAAUAUCCCGCUACUGGGUGAUCAAUACUGGCAUCUGCACACAUGGUGCAGGGAGUAAUGUGAGUACUCCAACACAGUGAGUAAUAAACAUAAAUAACGACUGAAAGCAUGAAAUCUCAUAAAGGUACAAUAUAAUGGUAUCUCAAGCAGUAAAAUCAAUUAAUACAAUAAAGCCGUGGAUUAUCACAUAAUUCUCUUUUAAAAACAGUGAAGAAAAUUACUUUCAACAAGUAACGAAUAAUAAAAAACUUGCCCCUCGAGCUCAAUAUCAAACUCGCAGCACAGUAUCAGACCUACAGGGUCACUCCAAACUCACCAGCACACAACAUCAGCCCCUCGGGCUCCCUCCCAACUCAUCAAACACAAACAAUGGCCUCUCGGGUCCAGUCCAAACUCACCUGGGUACCCUGUGCUCACUAGAGUAUGUACAGACUCCGGAGGGGCUCCUACAGCCCAUGUACAAUACCAAUAGGCCUGAAAUCCUUCACAUAUCACACUCGAGUCCUGAAAGCCUCCUCACAUAAUACUCGAGGCCUGAAAGCCUCAUCACAUAAUACUCGAGGCCUGAAAUCCUCCUCACAUAACACUUGAUGCCCGAAAGCCUCCUCACAUAAAACUUGAGGCCAAAAAGCCUCCUCACAUCACUCAACAUAUCCUCAAGUAUGGCCUUCAGCCUCAAUAAGUCCAUAAAAUAAUCAUAAGCCUCUUGGGUAUCAGUAAAAUUAUAGUGCUCAGCUCAACAACAUUUGUAAAUAUCAUUAAGUCUCAAGUUGAGUAUAAACGUAGCUGAGUUCACAAGAUAAUAUAAUUCAAUUGAACUGAGUUCAAAUAAUAUUUCAAUUCAUGAGGAAAAAUAGUGAUGUAAAUUCAUAAAAUAUUUCAAGUAAUUGGCACGAAGCCUAAAUAUGGAAAUAAGCCCAAUUCAUGGUGAAAUACAGUAAAUCUUUAUCACAUACGCGGUAAAAUAUCAACUGGGAUGAACCAAGUCACAAUUCCCAAUAGUAAAUGACCCCGCGCUAAUCAUACAACGCGUGUAUCAUCUCAACAUACCGAUAUGUUGUGCAAUUCAGAUGUCAUUUAAAAUCAUUACUCACCUCGAACCGGUGAAAUCUCUCGCCCGUGACGCCCUUGCUCCUCAAAUCGACCUCCACGCGCGUCGAAUCUAUCAAAAUUCAGAGUGAAUACAUCACAAUAUGCUAAAGGAAUAUAACUCAAUCAAAAAGACUCUAAAAAUAACAAAAAACAUGAAAUUCGCAAAACCCGAUCCCCGGGCCCACGUCUCGAAUUCCAGAAAUUUUUAUAUCAAUACGAUCUUUAUCUCACCACGAGUCUAUACAUACCAAAUUCACAAAAAUCAGAGUUCAUUUGACCCCUCAAAUCACCAUUUCUAUCCAAGAGAAUUUUCUACCCUUUUCAACAAAAUUCUCAAAUUAAACACCAAAACUUGCAAAAGAUUCGAGUUAUACAACAAAAAUUGAGUUAAGAACACUUACCCCGAUGUUUUCCUUGAAAAUUCCUCAAAAAAUCGCCUAACCCGAGCUCCCAUGGUCCGAAAAUGAAAGAGUGAGACGAUGUUAGACUUUGAUAUGCUUCUCAGGCAUUUGUUCUUCGUGUUCGCGGUCCCUUCGCGUUCCCGAAAAACAAAUUUCCAUAAAUUCUUCUUUCAAACUCUUCUCGGACUGCCUCUAGUAUAAUAGUCAUCACUUUUUGCACACAAACUCCAAAUGAUAACAGGUUUGAUGUUUUGAAACCUAGACACAAAGGGCUUUAAAUUCGUAUGCUGAUCAUUUCUUGAAUCCUUACACAUUGCGAUAUAUAAGCUUCACAAGUUAGCCCUGUGUAUUAGAGACUUUCCUAGACAGCCUAUAGUGUAACCACAAUAACUUUUUGUACAUUUCUUUAAAUUUCCAUUCUAUAUAUUUCUGAAAACUAGAAUCAAUUAUCUACUACUUUCGUUUUUAAAUCACCUCCACAUUCUUUGUAGAUAAAAAGAUAUGAGCUUCCGAAGUAGGACCUGUCCGACAGAAAAUUCCUUCUUCGCGAACACGAAGCAUUGUCCUUAAUGCGAAGGCAAAAAUUCCCAGAUGACAAUUCAUUCUUCGAUAACGCGAAGCACUGUCGAGAACGCGGCGGCAAAAAGUCUCAGAACCCAAUUUCUUCUUCUCGAACACGAAGAACAACAACAGAUACCAGCAACUGCAGUCCAAAACUUCCCAAAAAUGACCUGUUGGCACUUCGAAAUCACCCCGAGGCCCUCGAGACCUCAUCCAAAAGCACAGAUAUGUCCUAUUACCUUAUUAAAACUUGCGCGAACCAUAAGAAUACUAUCGUUAACAUCAAAGUCAUCAAGUUAUAGUCAAAUUAUUGCUUAAGUUAAACUAAAACUUUUAAAAUUCUCAUUCAAUCAUAAAUCUUACCUAAACACCUCCGAAUCAAUUGAAAUUUUACCCACAAGUCCAAAAUCACCUAACAAAGCUACUGCAACUGUGGGAAUUCCAUUCGUUCUCCCGGACCAAAAUCUCAACUAAAAACCGAAAACCGCACAAAAACUAAUUGCUUCACUGGACCUCCAAAAUUCAUUAUGAUUGCGCUCCUAAGCCUUAAAUCAUCCCCCGAAACUAACCGAAUCAUCGGAAUUCAAUUCCGAGCCUUAUAACUCACAAGUCAAUGUUCAGUUGACUUUUUCAUAUUAAUUCUUCUUUAAAGUGACUAUUUGUCUUACUUCAUAUCACAAUUGCUCCAAAUAAAUUCUAAUGCACCCAAUACCGAUAAUGAAGCAUGAGGAAGUAGGAAAUGAAACAAACGGGGCAGUAACUCAUGAGACGACGGGUCGGUUCGUCGCACCUUCCUACUAAGACAUUCCAUCGCUAUAGGUGUGGAAUGCAAGGAAUAGAGGCUUCCUCGCAAGCCAAGCAACUUGAUGGGGACAGCCUCUUCGCUAUGCGAGAGACUGUGUCAAAGCUCACAUCCGAACGGGGAUUUGGGUCGCAUCAAUGCGUACCCAAGUAUAAGAAAGUAAUUUAAUUAAAUCGCGCCUAAAGAGUAUAACACAAUAUUAUUUCAGGGAAAUCCGUGAAAUUUCCUAAACGGCCCUCCCGAAUUCUAAGUAUUUUAACAACUGUUUAAUGAGGGCCCCACAUUUUAUAUUUUAUUUGGAGAGGCUCGUCUCAUUUUAUUUUAAAGCCGACCAAAGUAAACUACAAUUUUCUAUUCAACUUUUUGCUAAAAUAGAAGGAAAAUCCUACUUAAUUAAAGUGCCCAAAACCUUAAUACAAUUGCAAACAAUUAAGCCCAAUAGUUGCAUAAGUAAAGCAAAACAUUAAAACUAACAGCCCCAAAUUCAAUGUUCAGGGACGGGGUAGACUGAGCCUAAAAGAAGCCUAAAUAAACGACAAUUCAUAAAGUGGGCCUGGUUUGAGUCUUUAACUCAUUGGGAAUUAACAGGUAAUUGAGUCAAAAUGCUCAUCAAUAAAGCUUCAAUUGAUUCACUUAUUACUAAUAAUCUAUUACUUAUUUAUAUUACAUCGAUUUGCCUCAAAAACUAUUCACAAGAGUCAUCCUGAUUUAUUAAAAAUGAACGAAUAUUCUAACUCAGACUAACGUGAAAAUACAUGACCUUCUUUUUUUGUUGAAUGAGCACAACUGUGAGUAAUUGACUCACAGUCACAACGACACUAACAUUGGACCUGGUUUUAAGCAAAUUUAUGAACCUUUUAAUGAGAAAAUAAUUAAAACUAAGGGGAACUAUUAACUUCAACCUUUGCCCAGAAUUUUCAAUAUUAACAUUGAAACAGUGAACUCGGGGGAACCUACUGAAAUUGUGGACCAAAUUGAAGUUAAACAAUAAUUCCCAAACAAGUUAAACCUAUUAUCGUUAAGCUCCUGUUGGAAACCCAGGCAGCUUAUAUAGUCCAAAGCCAAACAGCACAAGUGUAAUUUCAGUAACAAAAGGAAAUCUAGUUGAACAUAACACUAAGCUAAAGAAUAGUAAUACUAAACUAUUCUACCAAUUAACAGCCUUAACAGUCCAGAAUUAGUUCAGUUAGAUAGCACCAAAUUUCAAGUAAUCAAACCAUUUUACAAAUUAAAAUUAACCAGAGAUGAAAUGAAUUUAGAAUUCGACUUCUAACAGCAAUUCGAAUAGCAUUUCUUCAUGUAUUCCCAAACCAAAAUUUAUACAGAUCCUUCAAGUUCAUAUGAGGUCAAAAUGUACCUGGAAAUGUAAGAUCACAGGAGAGAAUAGAGAGGUCGGCUAGGUAGCAACAGAUGAGGCAAUCAUAGCCAAUCCCAUGCAACGACAAACGACCAAACAAAGGUAAUUUGACCAUCACAGCUUCACAAUGAACCCGGAAAUGCACACAGAGGAGAAUAGCUAACAAAACACUCAAAAAUGAUUCCAACAACCAAUCUCAACUUGAAAUAAUCCAAAGUAACUCGAAAUGGAACUUAAAUUACCCCUAGAAUUUUACUGAUGUAAUGGUCAACCAAAAAACCCCACUUAAAUUGACUUAAACUCAAACGAAAUGAACAAUAACUAAUGCUGGAAUUGAAUAUAUGAGUCAGCAUUUAAAUACAUCAAAAGUAACUUAGAAUUUUCAACGGAAUAGUAUUAUAAUUUUUUUAUGGAUCUUCUGUUAGUUUUUCUUGAUUUUUUUUUGUUUUUUGAAGGUUUUGAAAUUUGAAUUUUAGAUUGAGGAGAUCAGAUCUGCAAAAUUGUUUUUGGGAGAGUGUUUGGAG
rnacentral:lncRNA from 1 species